AGCGUGACCGCCUUUUCCCUUCCAGCUGCGGGGGACGGCGCAGUAGAGCACCGCCGCCCGGCCAUUUAUCUAAAAGGGAGUCAGGGCCACAGGCGGAAUCAACUGGAAUCCUCACUUUCUCAAGCCACCGAUCGCCCAGCCCGCAGCCUUACCGGGCGCGACGGGCACCCCUCCCCCUGGCAGCGCAUUUCCGCCGCCAGCGACCCGACGCCCCCCGCCCCCGCCACAGGCCCAGUGCCCUUGCAGGGACAGAUUGCACACCCAUAGCUUAGGUCUUCAGUACUCUGCGAAUAACGUGAUGAUAUAAAGGUUGGAUUGAGAAAGGAAGGAAAAAAAAAACAAAAACAUUUUGGGUCAGUUCACGAGCGGCCGCAGUGAUGGGGAAGGGGUCUGGGGGCUUCCUCUCCGACUUUGCGGGCAGCGUCAUCUGGCUCAAGAACGCACGCUGGUCCGUGGGAGGCACAGAGUCACUCUGGUCACCACAGGUAUCAGGACGGGUAAGGCGCUGUGAGGGCGUGACAGAGUCCUGAGACCUUCCUUCCGGGGCCUCACUGGUUCUUGUGCUUCCGGUUCUGGAGGGCAGACAUCUGGAAUGAGGCUCACGGGGCUACAUCAAGGUGUCGGCUGGGCUGCUUCCUUCUGAGGGCUCCAAGGGAGAAUCCACUCCACGCCUCUCCCAGCUUCCAGAGGCUGCUGGCAUUCCUUGGCUUGUGGCCCCUUGUUUGCCUCACUACGACCUCUUGCUUCCUUCUCGUCUGCUACUGCUGAAUCUGAUCUCCUGCCUCCUCAUGACACGUGAUUACAUUGGACCCACGCAGAUAACCCAGAAUAAUCUCAAAAUCCUCAAUUUCAUCCAAUCUUCCAAGUCUUUUUUGCUGUACAAGCUUUCUUGAGACCUUGCCAAAGGCCAUGUGAAUCCGCCAAUGCCAGCUAAGCGGGGGGAUGGGAGAUCCCACGGAGCAGAGCUCAGCCAUCCCAUCUGAGGCCCCAGACACAGGAGGAAGCCAAGGACCCAGCUUCUGCCAGCUUUGGAGAGCCGACCGUGCAUGUCGUUUCAACUCUGCGUUCAGUGACGUCACCUUGGAGCUUGAAGUCAGCCAUGGUGGGAAUAUUGCCACCAUGAGAAUCAGCAAACAUUACCAAGUGGGACUGUUUUCCCCUGGGGAGCCCGUAAAUGAACUGCUGCCAGGGCUCCGGGUGCCUGGGAAUUACGGCUCCUGUCGUCCUGAGUACAGACACUGGGUCUCAGCAGGAAAUGUCAGGGUCACCUUCCCACUGCUGAGCAGCAGAUGCUCUAAGUUGGGGGACUGACAAAAGGGGGGCAAAAUGAAAGCAGGGCCGAGAUAUGUGCUGCCAGAUAAGAGCCAGCUUAUGGGCUGAAACAUGGGUGAGGUAGAGCGUGCAUGAGACAAGGCCGGAGACAAGUGGGAUGGAAAACACAGGGCACGUAGUAGAGAUGCAUCUUUUGGUUAGAAGGUUACAGGAGAGUUUUAAGUAGAAGAGGGAUAUUUUGGAUUUAUGUUUGAUAAAGACACCUCUGGGCGUCUGGUCUGUGGAGAACAGCCUACACAGGUCAGGGAGGGAGGUGAAGGGUACCAAGGGUGGAAGCCUAGAGGCCAGUGAAGAUGCCAUCUGGGGCUGGGGCAGAGGGGGCCGUGGCAUGGCUUCUGACCUUUGCCCUGACACCUCCACCCCCAUGCUCAUGCUCCAGGAAUCCUUAGCCCCUGCCGUAGGGCAAGACCAGAUGAAGAUGCCCCACCUCUUCCCCUCGGGUU